rnacentral:rRNA from 1 species
AUUGAACGCUGGCGGCAGGCCUAACACAUGCAAGUCGAGCGGAUGAAGGGAGCUUGCUCCUGGAUUCAGCGGCGGACGGGUGAGUAAUGCCUAGGAAUCUGCCUGGUAGUGGGGGAUAACGUCCGGAAACGGGCGCUAAUACCGCAUACGUCCUGAGGGAGAAAGUGGGGGAUCUUCGGACCUCACGCUAUCAGAUGAGCCUAGGUCGGAUUAGCUAGUUGGUGGGGUAAAGGCCUACCAAGGCGACGAUCCGUAACUGGUCUGAGAGGAUGAUCAGUCACACUGGAACUGAGACACGGUCCAGACUCCGACGGGAGGGAGCAGUGGGGAAUAUGGGAAGAUGGGCGAAAGCCUGAUCCAGCCAUGCCGCGUGUGUGAAGAAGGUCUUCGGAUUGUAAAGCACUUUAAGUUGGGAGGAAGGGCAGUAAGUUAAUACCUUGCUGUUUUGACGUUACCAACAGAAUAAGCACCGGCUAACUUCGUG